rnacentral:rRNA from 1 species
UACGUAGGGUGCAAGCGUUGUCCGGAAUUAUUGGGCGUAAAGAGCUCGUAGGCGGUCUGUCGCGUCGGCUGUGAAAACACGGGGCUCAACUCCGUGCCUGCAGUCGAUACGGGCAGACUAGAGUUCGGUAGGGGAGACUGGAAUUCCUGGUGUAGCGGUGAAAUGCGCAGAUAUCAGGAGGAACACCGGUGGCGAAGGCGGGUCUCUGGGCCGAAACUGACGCUGAGGAGCGAAAGCGUGGGGAGCGAAACAGG